UUCUGCUUGCUCAGGAUUGAUAAAGUGAACAUGAGUAUCAAUACCACCUGCUGUUACGAUUUUCCCUUCAGCAGAAAUGAUAUCAGUUGUACUACCGAUAAUGAUAUUCACAUUAUCCAUAAUGUCAGGAUUACCCGCUUUACCGAUUGCAAAAAUAUAGCCGUUUUUAAUGCCGAUAUCUGCUUUAACAAUUUUGUCAUAAUCGAUAAUCAUAGCGUUCGUUAAAACUAAAUCGGCUACAUUUUUAUCAUCACGAGUUACGUUAGGAUUCUGUGCCAUACCAUCACGAA
rfam:Streptomyces sp. WAC00263 NODE_2_length_153383_cov_137.586349, whole genome shotgun sequence.